CCUUGAACACUGAGCAGAAGGCUGGGGCUGAGGGAGGCAGAGGAGAGGGGAAGGCAGGCUGAAGGAGAGGCAGGGACGGGGAGAGCCGAGGCCGGGGUACGAGCUCCGAGAGUGGGGGGAACGAGGGGUUGGCAGGCCAGGGGGGAAAAGGUGUGGAGUUGGGAUGGUGGGGUUGACACAGGAACCCGGUAAAGAUGAGGGACAGGAAGGCUGCGAAUAAACUGGGAGAGGAAUGUUAGGUUCCUUCAAGACGAGGGAUAAGGUGUCACAUAGAGGAGAAGGAAAGGCCAGGUAGGGCAGAUCAAAUGACAUACAAGAGAUGUGAGACCAGGCAGGAGGGGGUUGACAUAGAUCGAAAUAUAUAAUUUUUCAUGCAUAAACAUGCCGUAUGUGUAGGAAAAGGUGUCUCAGGUCAGUAAUAACAACCGGAGGUAAUUCAGUAUAACAGAGCUACAUUUGGGCAGAGAGAGUUGAGUACUCAAGCUUCAGGAGUUUUUUUUUUUUGUGCUUUUCCUCCCAUGGAUGUAAUGCUGGUUCAGCUGCCCACGUCCAAUCAGACAUCAGGACCGCAGGCCUUGUCAUAAUGACAGCCAUGACAUCACUGCAAGGGCUCACGGAAAGAAGACAGCGCAGCUCCAGACCGACAGCGGGGCUCCACGGGGCUGCACGCGGGCACAGCGAGCCGGCUGCCAGAUAGAAACGGAGCGGACUACUGGGGAUGGGGGGACUCGCAGAGGGUGCCGUUUUCAGGUUUCGCGACCGGGGUCGGGAGCUCUGUGCAGGGCACAUUGAGGCUCCCUCGCUGGAUGAAGCGAGAGGAAGUUAUGGAGGAGGUUGAGAGGAAUGGCAUCUUGUUUAAUUUCUGCCAAUCAAGACGAGAGGACAACUCAAAACUGGCAUGACAUCAGAGGAGAGUGAAGACAGGAUCAAGAGACCAGGACAAUUUAUGAACCCGAUGGCAUAUGGGAACUGAGGAGCUGCGGCGGCUGUAAUCUCCACUGUUCAAUUAGCUGCAGUGACCGGGACGCCACCUACACUUCAUUACCAGGGAGGGGAAGGUGUCACAGGUGUAAACGAGAGCUUGCCAUCCAAAGUGGGAGCCAUUCCUAGGUGAAGCAAACCAAAUUAAAAUGAAUCAAGCUGAACUGAUCUGAACUGGAAUGGCCUGAGCUGAACUGAAAGGAAAGCUCCAGCCUCACAGGACUCUCAGAAAAAAAGAUUCAGGCUGAAAAAAACCUUGAAAUCACAGAUGAAACCUGUUGUUUCCUGUGGGGGGUUCCUUGUUAUAUUUAUACCGCUGUUCACUCUUAUAGUAUGUUGUAUGACAUGAAUUAAAAUAAAACGAAGUUUGACUCAA